CCCUGCUUAAAGAGCUACAACCAGACACGACUAGAAUUCGAAUUCUGAAUUUUGAUAGAAUCCAUGUACAAAACGAUUUAAACAACUAAGAAAAACAUAAAACUAUCCUGCCGUAACAAACUGGGACACCACCACAGACCACUUGGUAACCUCCAAGUUUUCCUUCCACGUCACCGGCAGCCCAUCGGCAACGAUUAACACUGGCCAUCGGCAUAAACACAUCACCACCCAUGGACUUAGCCAUAUCCAGCUGUCUCCUCAUCAGCAACUACUCCCAUCGGCAACUUUUCCCGCAGACCAGUCACUAUUGUCUUUUUCUUGCCGAUCCACACUCUACCGAUCCUGGGUACGUGUCCAAAAAGGCAUCAACACAUGCCCCCCAAUUUCGGAGUAUGAAGUCAUUAAUACUCCGAAAUUCUCUGCAGUAACGAUGCCUUUCCGCAAUUAAUUCUCCCAGUUUGGUAACCGACAACCUUAACCUGAACAACC
rnacentral:lncRNA from 1 species